rnacentral:rRNA from 1 species
UACGUAGGUGACAAGCGUUGUCCGGAUUUACUGGGCGUAAAGAGCGCGUAGGCGGUCGUUCAAGUCGAGUGUGAAAGCCCCCGGCUCAACUGGGGAGGGUCAUUCGAUACUGAUCGACUCGAAGGCAGGAGAGGGUAGUGGAAUUCCCGGUGUAGUGGUGAAAUGCGUAGAUAUCGGGAGGAACACCAGUGGCGAAGGCGACUGCCUGGCCUGUUCUUGACGCUGAGGCGCGAAAGCUAGGGGAGCAAACGGG